CGCUGGCGGCGUGCCUAAUACAUACAAGUCGAACGCACUCUCGUUUAGAUUGAAGGAGCUUGCUCCUGAUUGAUAAACAUUUGAGUGAGUGGCGGACGGGUGAGUAACACGUGGGUAACCUGCCCUAAAGUGGGGGAUAACAUUUGGAAACAGAUGCUAAUACCGCAUAAAACCUAACAUCGCAUGGUGUAGGGUUGAAAGAUGGUUUCGGCUAUCACUUUAGGAUGGACCCGCGGUGCAUUAGUUAGUUGGUGAGGUAAAAGGCUCACCAAGACCGUGAUGCAUAGCCGACCUGAGAGGGUAAUCGGCCACACUGGGACUGAGACACGGCCCAGACUCCUACGGGAGGCAGCAGUAGGGAAUCUUCCACAAUGGACGAAAGUCUGAUGGAGCAACGCCGCGUGAGUGAAGAAGGUUUUCGGAUCGUAAAACUCUGUUGUUGGAGAAGAAUGUAUCUGAUAGUAACUGAUCAGGUAGUGACGGUAUCCAACCAGAAAGCCACGGCUAACUACGUG
rnacentral:rRNA from 1 species